GACCUAGACAGGACAUGUCAACUUCAGAGUCAGCAGGAAUGACAUCACACACACAGAACAGACAGGCACACCACGCAUAUAGGGAGAGGAUGGACCUGAGACUGGCUGCAUGAGCAUCCUAGUGGCCGAGGAGAGAGAAGUCACCUCUUGGUUUGAGAUGGCUGCUGGUGUUCCAGCUAUCACAACUAUAAUCUAGGCAGCAGGAUGGAGGGAGGGAGAGAGAAGAGACAAAAAGGAACAGCGCCUCUCUUCUGAAAGGAUUUUCUACGUAUCCAGUAUUUCACUUCUACUGAACUUUCAGCGGCCAGAACUUAGCCACAGAACGGGAUCCCUUCAAUGGCGCCAAACAAGGUCCAUGAAGAGAGCAACAAGGACCUUCUGAGGCCACACAAGUGAGCUGAGUCCAGCUGCCAGGGCUGAGCAAGAGAGCCCAAGAGGCAGACAGAACCAUCAAACUCAGGAACUAGACUUUGAGUAACAACCCCCUUCCCAGAAGGAGAAAACAUGACAUGGGUGGGUCAAGAAAAGGGACCCAGAACCAUCACACCCUGCUCCGUGGGCUCCCAAACUAUCACUGCACCUUCUUUUGGUCACAACAGUCUUGAGUUCGA